rnacentral:rRNA from 1 species
AACGAACGCUGGCGGCAUGCCUAACACAUGCAAGUCGAACGAGACCUUCGGGUCUAGUGGCGCACGGGUGCGUAACGCGUGGGAACCUGCCCUUAGGUUCGGAAUAACUCCCCGAAAGGGGUGCUAAUACCGGAUAAUGUCUUCGGACCAAAGAUUUAUCGCCUUUGGAUGGGCCCGUGUUGGAUUAGCUAGUUGGUAGGGUAAAAGCCUACCAAGGCGACGAUCCAUAGCUGGUCUGAGAGGAUGAUCCGCCACGCUGGGGCUGCGACACGGCCCAGACUCCUACGGGAGGCAGCAGUGGGGAAUAUUGGACGAUGGGCGAAAGCCUGAUCCAGCAAUGCCGCGUGAGUGAUGAAGGCCUUAGGGUUGUAAAGCUCUUUUACCCGGGAUGAUAAUGACAGUACCGGGAGAAUAAGCUCCGGCUAACUCCGUG